GGAGAGAUGCCAGAGCGGUUGAAUGGGGCGGUCUCGAAAACCGUUGAUCCCUCGCGGGAUCCCAGGGUUCGAAUCCCUGUCUCUCCGCAA
rnacentral:tRNA from 1 species